rnacentral:rRNA from 1 species
UAGGGAAUAUUGGACAAUGGGCGAAAGCCUGAUCCAGCCAUGCCGCGUGAGUGAUGACGGCCCUAGGGUUGUAAAGCUCUUUCGGCGGGGAAGAUAAUGACGGUACCCGCAGAAGAAGCCCCGGCUAACUUCGUGCCAGCAGCCGCGGUAAUACGAAGGGGGCUAGCGUUGUUCGGAAUCACUGGGCGUAAAGCGCACGUAGGCGGAUCGUUAAGUCAGGGGUGAAAUCCCGAGGCUCAACCUCGGAACUGCCUUUGAUACUGGCGAUCUUGAGACCGAGAGAGGUGAGUGGAACUCCGAGUGUAGAGGUGAAAUUCGUAGAUAUUCGGAAGAACACCAGUGGCGAAGGCGGCUCACUGGCUCGGUACUGACGCUGAGGUGCGAAAGCGUGGGGAGCAAACAGGAUUAGAUACCCCCGUAGUCC